AACAUUGACUUGUGACAAUCACACCGCUGAGGUGAUCGUAUCUCUCACACCUUAACAUAGACUUACGACAGUCGUAGGGCUGAGGUGAUCGUAUCUCUCACACCUUAACAUAGACUUACGACAGUCGUAGGGCUGAGGUGAUCG